AUACGGAGGGUGCAAGCGUUAUCCGGAAUCAUUGGGUUUAAAGGGUCCGUAGGCGGGCUAAUAAGUCAGGGGUGAAAUCCCACAGCUUAACUGUGGAACUGCCCUUGAUACUGUUGGUCUUGAGUUACAGUGAAGUGGUUAGAAUGUGUAGUGUAGCGGUGAAAUGCAUAGAGAUUACACAGAAUACCGAUUGCGAAGGCAGAUCACUAACUGUAUACUGACGCUAAUGGACGAAAGCGUGGGGAGCGAACAGGAUUAGAAACCCCAGUAGUCC
rnacentral:rRNA from 1 species